UAAGACGUAGGGGACGAGCGUUGUCCGGAUUUAUUGGGCGUAAAGCGCGCGCAGGCGGCCACGUAAGUCGGAUGUGAAAUCCCGGGGCUCAACCCCGGAACUGCAUUCGAUACUGCGUGGCUCGAGGUAGGUAGGGGAGAUCGGAAUUCCUGGUGUAGCGGUGGAAUGCGCAGAUAUCAGGAGGAACACCGGUGGCGAAGGCGGAUCUCUGGGCCUUACCUGACGCUCAGGCGCGAAAGCUAGGGGAGCGAACAGGAUUAGAUACCCUGGUAGUCCUAGCCGUAAACGUUGGGUGCUAGGUGUGGGUGGAUAUCAACCCCAUCCGUGCCGAAGCUAACGCAUUAAGCACCCCGCCUGGGGAGUACGGCCGCAAGGCUA
rnacentral:rRNA from 1 species